UUCGGGGCUCCUUGGUGAUUCAUGAUAACUUAACGAAUCGCAUGGCCUUGUGCCGGCGAUGGUUCAUUCAAAUUUCUGCCCUAUCAACUUUCGAUGGUAGGAUAGUGGCCUACCAUGGUUUCAACGGGUAACGGGGAAUUAGGGCUCUAUUCCGGAGAGGGAGCCUGAGAAACGGCUACCACAUCCAAGGAAGGCAGCAGGCGCGCAAAUUACCCAAUCCCGACACGGGGAGGUAGUGACAAUAAAUACUGAUGCAGAGCUCUUUUGGGUUUUGCAAUUGGAAUGAGUACAAUUUAAAUCCCUUAACGAGGAACAAUUGGAGGGCAAGUCUGGUGCCAGCAGCCGCGGUAAUUCCAGCUCCAAUAGCGUAUAUUAAAGUUGUUGCAGUUAAAAAGCUCGUAGUUGAACCUUGGGCCUGGCUGGCCGGUCCGCCUCACCGCGUGCACUGGUCCGGCCGGGCCUUUCCUUCUGGGGAGCCGCAUGCCCUUCACUGGGUGUGUCGGGGAACCAGGACUUUUAC
rnacentral:rRNA from 1 species